GUUCCAGCAGCCGCGGUAAUACAGAGGGUGCAAGCGUUAAUCGGAAUUACUGGGCGUAAAGCGUGCGUAGACGGUUAUUUAAGUCGGAUGUGAAAUCCCCGGGCUCAACCUGGGAAUUGCAUUCGAGACUGAAUGGCUAGGGUGCGGAAGAGGGAAGCGGAAUUUCCGGUGUAGCAGUGAAAUGCGUAGAUAUCGGAAGGAACAUCAGUGGCGAAGGCGGCUUCCUGGUCCAGCACCGACGUUCAGGCACGAAAGCGUGGGGAGCAAACAGGAUUAGAAACCCGAGUAGUCC
rnacentral:rRNA from 1 species